AGCGAACGCUGGCGGAAUGCUUAACACAUGCAAGUCGCACGCCCUGCAAGGGGAGUGGCGGACGGGUGAGUAACGCGUAGGAAUCUGUCCCGAGGUGGGGGACAACCCUGGGAAACCGGGGCUACUACCGCAUAUGGGCUGAGGCCCAAAGCAGUGAUGCGCCUUUGGAGUAGCCUGCGUCCGAUUAGCUUGUUGGUGGGGUAAAGGCUUACCAAGGCGACGAUCGGUAGCUGGUCUGAGAGGACGACCAGCCACACUGGGACUGAGACACGGCCCAGACUCCUACGGGAGGCAGCAGUGGGGAAUAUUGGACAAUGGGCGCAAGCCUGAUCCAGCAAUUCCGCGUGGGUGAAGAAGGUCUUCGGAUUGUAAAGCCCUUUCGACGGGGACGAUGAUGACGGUACCCGUAGAAGAAGCCCCGGCUAACUUCGUGCCAGCCGCCGCGGUAA
rnacentral:rRNA from 1 species